UACGGAGGGGGCUAGCGUUGUUCGGAAUUACUGGGCGUAAAGCGCACGUAGGCGGCUUUGUAAGUUAGAGGUGAAAGCCCGGGGCUCAACUCCGGAAUUGCCUUUAAGACUGCAUCGCUAGAAUUGUGGAGAGGUAAGUGGAAUUCCGAGUGUAGAGGUGAAAUUCGUAGAUAUUCGGAAGAACACCAGUGGCGAAGGCGGCUCUCUGGGCCUUACCUGACGCGUGAGGAGCGAAAGCGUGGGUAGCGAACAGG
rnacentral:rRNA from 1 species